rnacentral:rRNA from 1 species
AUUGAACGCUGGCGGCAUGCUUUACACAUGCAAGUCGAACGGUAACAGGCCGCAAGGUGCUGACGAGUGGCGAACGGGUGAGUAAUGCAUCGGAACGUGCCCAGUCGUGGGGGAUAACGCAGCGAAAGCUGUGCUAAUACCGCAUACGAUCUAUGGAUGAAAGCGGGGGACCGUAAGGCCUCGCGCGAUUGGAGCGGCCGAUGUCAGAUUAGGUAGUUGGUGGGGUAAAGGCCCACCAAGCCAACGAUCUGUAGCUGGUCUGAGAGGACGACCAGCGACACUGGGACUGAGACACGGCCCAGACUCCUACGGGAGGCAGCAGUGGGGGAUUUUGGACAAUGGGCGCAAGCCUGAUCCAGCAAUGCCGCGUGCAGGAAGAAGGCCUUCGGGUUGUAAACUGCCUUUGUACGGAACGAAACGGUCUGGGUUAAUACCCUGGGCUAAUGACGGUACCGUAAGAAUAAGCACCGGCUAACUACGUGCCAGCAGCCGCCGUAACAC